GGGUGUGUGUUCUAGUGGCAUGAUUUUCGCUUCGCAUUCAGCAACUGUGAAAGGUCCCCGGUUCAAUCCCGGGCUCAUCCA
rnacentral:tRNA from 1 species